rnacentral:rRNA from 1 species
CUACGGGUGGCUGCAGUGAGGAAUAUUGCACAAUGGGGGGAACCCUGAUGCAGCAACGCCGCGUGGAGGAUGACGCAUUUCGGUGUGUAAACUCCUUUUAUAUGUCAAGAAAAUGACGGUAGCAUAUGAAUAAGCACCGGCUAACUCCGUGCCAGCAGCCGCGGUAAUACGGAGGGUGCAAGCGUUACGCGGAAUCACUGGGCGUAAAGGACGCGUAGGCGGGUUGGAAAGUCAGGUGUGAAAUCCUACAGCUUAACUGUAGAACUGCACUUGAAACUUCUAAUCUAGAGUAUGGGAGGGGGAGAUGGAAUUCGUGGUGUAGGGGUAAAAUCCGUAGAUAUCACUAGGAAUACCUAAAGCGAAGGCGAUCUCCUGGAACAUUACUGACGCUAAGGCGUGAAAGCGUGGGGAGCAAACAGGAUUAGAUACCCGUGUAGUC